UACGUAGGGUGCGAGCGUUAAUCGGAAUUACUGGGCGUAAAGUGUGCGCAGGCGGCUCCGCGAGUCGAGUGUGAAAUCCCCGAGCUUAACUUGGGAAUUGCGCUCGAAACUACGGAGCUGGAGUGUGGCAGAGGAAGGUGGAAUUCCACGUGUAGCGGUGAAAUGCGUAGAUAUGUGGAGGAACACCGAUGGCGAAGGCAGCCUUCUGGGCCAACACUGACGCUCAUGCACGAAAGCGUGGGGAGCAAACAGG
rnacentral:rRNA from 1 species